rnacentral:rRNA from 1 species
GAUGAACGCUGGCGGCGUGCCUAAUACAUGCAAGUCGAGCGAACAGACGAGGAGCUUGCUCCUCUGACGUUAGCGGCGGACGGGUGAGUAACACGUGGAUAACCUACCUAUAAGACUGGGAUAACUUCGGGAAACCGGAGCUAAUACCGGAUAAUAUAUUGAACCGCAUGGUUCAAUAGUGAAAGACGGUUUUGCUGUCACUUAUAGAUGGAUCCGCGCCGCAUUAGCUAGUUGGUAAGGUAACGGCUUACCAAGGCGACGAUGCGUAGCCGACCUGAGAGGGUGAUCGGCCACCCUGGAACUGAGACACGGUCCAGACCCCUACGGGAGGCAGCAGUAGGGAAUCUUCCGCAAUGGGCGAAAGCCUGACGGAGCAACGCCGCGGGAGUGAUGAAGGUCUUCGGAUCGUAAAACUCUGUUAUUAGGGAAGAACAAAUGUGUAAGUAACUAUGCACGUCUUGACGGUACCUAAUCAGAAAGCCACGGCUAACUACGU